rnacentral:lncRNA from 1 species
CCUUGCCAGCAGCAGCUUAUGGAGGUCUGGUCAGGCUGUCAUCCAUUUUCAGCUAUCUGUCACCCUCUCAGGAUUUGCACUGGAGAAAGAGCAUGUGUGGGCCAUUGCAGCCUGAAUUAAUCAGGAGGGAAGAAGAAGUGCGAUGAUAACUGGCCAGUGAUACACAGUGGGAGACAGACUGCGGAACUGCCCAUGAGGCCAAGCACCUAUUAGUAGACCAAGAAGCAUCACCCAACUGUGGCCUAAGUCGGCAGCCAGCUAUUGUUCUCAUCUGAGUCUGGGAGUUCAGGAUUUCCAUCCUGACCCGGCUACUUUCUUUCAACAGUUACCCACUGUAAAUUUCCGAAUACUUUCAGCUACUAAUCCCAGUG